rnacentral:snRNA from 1 species
UCAACUCUCUUUUGCCAUUUGGCUCAGAUCAAGAGUAUUCAGUUCUUUCUCAGCUUAAUCGCUGAAAGGCAUCCUACGGGGUGUCACAAAACAAUGACUAAUUUUUGGACUCGGCCUUGGGAGCGCUGGGCUCCGCUUAUCUUCCAGGGCAAGGUGUCGCCUCUACUGCACUGCCGGGGGCUGACGCGAAAGCAA